UCAAAAUUGCUUUGUUAAGCAGUGACCUUAAUAACCGAGAGUCUUCUAAAACUCUCUACAACAAACUAAAGAAUUGAAUUACCUUGCGCCGGUAUCAUUUCGCUUGAGCCGGGAACUCCUGUUUACCUUGAGACAGGUAUUCCUUCUUAUAGAUAUCACCGAAAAAGCGGAAGACUAAGAAGACUUUGUCUCGCCCACGCCCAGGAAAGAAAAGAUCUGAUC
rnacentral:lncRNA from 1 species